rnacentral:lncRNA from 1 species
CUAAGGAAAACUAGCGUGAAGUUCCCCGGGAUAAUGGUUAGCAACGUCCGGGGAUAUGGGUUAGCAACACCCAGGGGCUAUGGGUUUUGUAACGACGUGCGUUAACCAAUCAAAAUCCUAGAUAUAUACUAAGCCGGGGAUAAGAUUAUUUCUUUGCGUAUUUCCGAAGAUUUUACCAAGUUGUAAAUGAAUAAAAUGACUAAAUUCAAACAGAUGUUUGGAAAAAA